UCUCCUUGCCCAGGUUGGCAUUUCCAGGUGAGUUCUCCUUGCCCAGCUGGGCUCACUGGUGCCACUUCAGCAGGAAUCCAAACUGGAAUAAUUUCUGUGACCCCAAACUUUCAAGGAUUCACAGGGGGGGCAUUUUUUCCAUCCCAAAAUCCAGCAUUAAAUCCUGAUUCUCCAGAAAUAAAAAGUUUAAAACUCCCCAGUCCUUUUUUAUCUGUUUGAAUCACCACCAGCCCAUCAGUGUUUUCAUAAUUAAUUGUUUAAUUAGAGAUGUUCUGCUGCUCUUUCAGGUACCUGAUUGAGGUUGAAGGCAUGGAGCCCAACGCUGCCAUAGAGUGAGCAGCAGCAGUGGCAGGCAGAGGCAGGAGGAGCAGAGGAAGCAGAAAAAGCAGAAUCAUCAGGAGAGAGAACAUCAGGAAGAGAGGAAACAGAAAAAGCAGAAUUAUCUGGAGAUGGAGCAUCAGGAGCAGAGGAAACAGAAGAAGCUGGAGCAGAGAAAGCAGAAAAAAAUGGAAGAUCUGGAGAUGGAACAUACGGAGGAGAAGAAACAGAAAAAGCUGAAACAUCAGGAGCAGAAUCACCUGGAGCAGAGGAAACAGAAAAAACUGGAACAUCUGGAACAGAAUCAUCUGGAGAUGGAGCAUCAGGAGCAGAGGAAGCAGAAGGAGCAGAAUCAUCUGGAACAGAAUCAUCUGGAGAUGGAGCAUCAGGAGAAAAGGAAGCAGAAAAAGCAGAAACAUCAGGAGCAGAAUCUGGAGCUGGAGCAGAGGAGGCAGAAAGAGCUGAAACAUCUGGAAAUGGAGCAUCAGGAGCAGAGGAAAGAGAGGAAACAGAAACAUCUGGAGCAGAAGCAGCAGAAUCAUCUGGAGCUGGAACAUCUGGAGAGGGAGCAUCAGGAGCAGAAGAAGCAAAAAAAGCUGAAACAUCUGGAGCAGAGGAAACAGAAAAAGCUGGAGCUCCAGGAGCAUCUUGAACAGAGGGAAGAGGAAAAGCUGGAACAUCAGGAGAUGGAACAUCAGGAGAUGGAGCAUCAGGAGAUGGAGCAUCAGGAGAUGGAGCUUCAGGAGAAAAGGAAGCAGAAAGAGCAGAAUCACCUGGAGCAGAGGAAGCCAAAAAAGCAGAAACAUCUGGAGCAGAAUCACCUGGAAACGGAGCAUCAGGAGCAGAGGAAGGAGAGGAAACAGAAACAUCUGGAGCAGAAAAAGCAAAACCACGUGGAGCAAAAUCAUCUGGGGAUGGAGCAGCAGGAACAGAAGGAGCAGAACCCGCUGGAGCUCCAGGAGCAUCCUGAGCAGAAGAGGCAGAAAAAGCUGAAACAUCAGGAGCAGAGGAAGCAGAAGGAAGAGAAUCAUGUGGAGAUGGAGCUCCAGGAGCAGAGGAAGCAGAAAAAGCUGGAGCAGAGACAGCAGAAGAAACAGAACCAGCAGGAGCAGAAGCAGCAGAAUUCUCUGGAACAGAAUUCUGUGGAGCAGAAUUUUUUGGACCACAACAAUCAGGAGCAGGAGGCCCUGGAACCCCCCAGGAACUGCUGCCUGUCCCCACCCCCCAAGAAGAAAAAGAAGAAGCAGCAGCAGGAGCUGUCCUGACCCAGGAGAACCCUGCAGAGC
ensembl:lncRNA